rnacentral:rRNA from 1 species
AUUGAACGCUGGCGGCAGGCCUAACACAUGCAAGUAGAACGAGUGGCGGACGGGUGAGUAAUGUCUGGGAAACUGCCUGAUGGAGGGGGAUAACUACUGGAAACGGUAGCUAAUACCGCAUACCAUCAGAUGUGCCCAGAUGGGAUUAGCUAGUAGGUGGGGUAAAGGCUCACCUAGGCGACGAUCCCUACCUGGUCUGAGAGGAUGACCAGCCACAAUGGAACUGAGACACGGUCCAGACUCCGACGGGAGGUAGCAGUGGGGAAUAUUGAACAAUGGGCGCAAGCCUGAUGCAGCCAUGCCGCGUGUAUGAAGAAGGCCUUCGGGUUGUAAAGUACUUUCAGCGGGGAGGCGUUACCCGCAGAAGAAGCACCGGCUAACUCCGUGCCAGCAGCCGCGGUAAUUC